ACCACAUGAAUCUGGCGGCCGCUGACACCAAAACACAUAAGCGUCUCCACGCAGGGCUGAAUAGCUAGAGAAGGUCUCGCUCAAGCCCUGUCCAUGGUGCUGAAGCACAGCCAGCGCUGCACAACUCGGAUGUUUUCAACCACAACAGGAUUUCUGCCAAAACUAUUAUCAGCUCCACGUGUUUGGCCUCGCGGUCGAUGGCCUUCAUCUUACCCGUCACCACGCUGAUCCAGGAGCGCAGAGACAGCCGGGCUUGAUCCUGAUCGCUGUAGCAGUGACUGUGGAGGAACAGAUCCUGCUUCAGAUUUACACAGCUAUGAAAAGAGCAGCCAGAAGGACAUUGGUGUCUUUCACUUCCAGAAAUGAAUACCAUUGAAUGAAGAGAGGACAGUAGCGACGCCUGAACAAAAGCAUGCGGGGUGUGUGAGGUUAUUCUGCAAACACUCGACGGACAGAUGCUGAAAUCCCUUAAUUUCCAGCACAGCACUGGCCUGCUUUAAAGCGCUUUCUUC